rnacentral:rRNA from 1 species
AGAGUUUGAUCCUGGCUCAGAUUGAACGCUGGCGGCAGGCUUAACACAUGCAAGUCGAGCGGAGAGAGGUAGCUUGCUACUGAUCUUAGCGGCGGACGGGUGAGUAAUGCUUAGGAAUCUGCCUAUUAGUGGGGGACAACAUCUCGAAAGGGAUGCUAAUACCGCAUACGUCCUACGGGAGAAAGCAGGGGAUCUUCGGACCUUGCGCUAAUAGAUGAGCCUAAGUCGGAUUAGCUAGUUGGUGGGGUAAAGGCCUACCAAGGCGACGAUCUGUAGCGGGUCUGAGAGGAUGAUCCGCCACACUGGGACUGAGACACGGCCCAGACUCCUACGGGAGGCAGCAGUGGGGAAUAUUGGACAAUGGGGGGAACCCUGAUCCAGCCAUGCCGCGUGUGUGAAGAAGGCCUUAUGGUUGUAAAGCACUUUAAGCGAGGAGGAGGCUACUUUAGUUAAUACCUAGAGAUAGUGGACGUUACUCGCAGAAUAAGCACCGGCUAACUCUGUGCCAGCAGCCGCGGUAAUACAGAGGGUGCAAGCGUUAAUCGGAUUUACUGGGCGUAAAGCGCGCGUAGGCGGCUAAUUAAGUCAAAUGUGAAAUCCCCGAGCUUAACUUGGGAAUUGCAUUCGAUACUGGUUAGCUAGAGUGUGGGAGAGGAUGGUAGAAUUCCAGGUGUAGCGGUGAAAUGCGUAGAGAUCUGGAGGAAUACCGAUGGCGAAGGCAGCCAUCUGGCCUAACACUGACGCUGAGGUGCGAAAGCAUGGGGAGCAAACAGGAUUAGAUACCCUGGUAGUCCAUGCCGUAAACGAUGUCUACUAGCCGUUGGGGCCUUUGAGGCUUUAGUGGCGCAGCUAACGCGAUAAGUAGACCGCCUGGGGAGUACGGUCGCAAGACUAAAACUCAAAUGAAUUGACGGGGGCCCGCACAAGCGGUGGAGCAUGUGGUUUAAUUCGAUGCAACGCGAAGAACCUUACCUGGCCUUGACAUAGUAAGAACUUUCCAGAGAUGGAUUGGUGCCUUCGGGAACUUACAUACAGGUGCUGCAAGGCUGUCGUCAGCUCGUGUCGUGAGAUGUUGGGUUAAGUCCCGCAACGAGCGCAACCCUUUUCCUUAUUUGCCAGCGAGUAAUGUCGGGAACUUUAAGGAUACUGCCAGUGACAAACUGGAGGAAGGCGGGGACGACGUCAAGUCAUCAUGGCCCUUACGGCCAGGGCUACACACGUGCUACAAUGGUCGGUACAAAGGGUUGCUACACAGCGAUGUGAUGCUAAUCUCAAAAAGCCGAUCGUAGUCCGGAUUGGAGUCUGCAACUCGACUCCAUGAAGUCGGAAUCGCUAGUAAUCGCGGAUCAGAAUGCCGCGGUGAAUACGUUCCCGGGCCUUGUACACACCGCCCGUCACACCAUGGGAGUUUGUUGCACCAGAAGUAGCUAGCCUAACUGCAAAGAGGGCGGUUACCACGGUGUGGCCGAUGACUGGGGUGAAGUCGUAACAAGGUAACC